AGAGUUUGAUCCUGGCUCAGGACGAACGCUAGCUAUAGGCUUAACACAUGCAAGUCGAGGGGCAGCAUGAUCGAAGCUUGCUUUGAUUGAUGGCGACCGGCGCACGGGUGAGUAACGCGUAUCCAACCUACCCAUUACUAGAGGAUAGUCCCUUGAAAGAGGGUUUAAUACUCUAUGUUUCAGCUAUUGACAUCUUUAGUAGAUGAAAGAUUUAUCGGUAAUGGAUGGGGAUGCGUCUGAUUAGCUUGUUGGCGGGGUAACGGCCCACCAAGGCAACGAUCAGUAGGGGUUCUGAGAGGAAGGUCCCCCACAUUGGUACUGAGACACGGACCAAACUCCUACGGGAGGCAGCAGUGAGGAAUAUUGGUCAAUGGGCGCGAGCCUGAACCAGCCAAGUAGCGUGAAGGAAGACGGCCCUAUGGGUUGUAAACUUCUUUUCUGGGUGAUUAAAGAUACCUACGUGUAGGUAGUUGCAGUUAGCUCAGGAAUAAGGACCGGCUAAUUCCGUGCCAGCAGCCGCGGUAAUACGGAAGGUCCUGGUGUUAUCCGGAUUUAUUGGGUUUAAAGGGAGCGUAGGCGGUUUGUCAAGCGUGUUGUGAAAUUUAGUGGCUCAACCAUUAAACUGCAGCGCGAACUGGCGGACUUGAGUACACGCGAGGUAGGCGGAAUUUGUGGUGUAGCGGUGAAAUGCUUAGAUAUCACGAAGAACCCCGAUUGCGAAGGCAGCUUACCGGAGUGUCACUGACGCUGAAGCUCGAAGGUGCGGGUAUCGAACAGGAUUAGAUACCCUGGUAGUCCGCACAGUAAACGAUGAAUACUCGCCGUUUGCGAUAAACAGUAAGUGGCCAAGCGAAAGCGUUAAGUAUUCCACCUGGGGAGUACGCCGGCAACGGUGAAACUCAAAGGAAUUGACGGGGGCCCGCACAAGCGGAGGAACAUGUGGUUUAAUUCGAUGAUACGCGAGGAACCUUACCCGGGCUUGAAUUGCAGAGGAAAGAUUUAGAGAUAAUGAUGCCCUUCGGGGUCUCUGUGAAGGUGCUGCAUGGUUGUCGUCAGCUCGUGCCGUGAGGUGUCGGCUUAAGUGCCAUAACGAGCGCAACCCUUGCUGUCAGUUGCCAUCAGGUAGAGCUGGGCACUCUGGCGGGACUGCCACCGUAAGGUGUGAGGAAGGUGGGGAUGACGUCAAAUCAGCACGGCCCUUACGUCCGGGGCUACACACGUGUUACAAUGGGCGGUACAGAGGGCAGCCACUUGGCAACAAGGCGCUAAUCCCUUAAAGCCGUUCUCAGUUCGGAUUGGGGUCUGCAACCCGACCCUAUGAAGCUGGAUUCGCUAGUAAUCGCGCAUCAGCCAUGGCGCGGUGAAUACGUUCCCGGGCCUUGCACUCACCGCCCGUCA
rnacentral:rRNA from 1 species